AAUCCAUAGGUUAAUGAGGCGAACCGGGGGAACUGAAACAUCUAAGUACCCCGAGGAAAAGAAAUCAACCGAGAUUCCCCCAGUAGCGGCGAGCGAACGGGGAGGAGCCCAGAGCCUGAAUCAGCAUGUGUGUUAGUGGAAGCGUCUGGAAAGGCGCGCGAUACAGGGUGACAGCCCCGUACACAAAAGCGCAUGUGCUGUGAGCUCGAUGAGUAGGGCGGGACACGUGGUAUCCUGUCUGAAUAUGGGGGGACCAUCCUCCAAGGCUAAAUACUCCUGACUGACCGAUAGUGAACCAGUACCGUGAGGGAAAGGCGAAAAGAACCCCGGCGAGGGGAGUGAAAAAGAACCUGAAACCGUGUACGUACAAGCAGUGGGAGCCCCACCACCAAAGCAUUCUCUGGUGUUGAAGGCCCUGCAAAGCAGCAUCGCGGUGGCGGAGCGUCGUUUGCGACGCCCAAUACACAAAACAAGCGGUGAGUGCUUUGGGGUGGGGUGACUGCGUACCUUUUGUAUAAUGGGUCAGCGACUUAUAUUCUGUAGCAAGGUUAACCGAAUAGGGGAGCCGGAGGGAAACCGAGUCUUAACCGGGCGUUAAGUUGCAGGGUAUAGACCCGAAACCCGGUGAUCUAGCCAUGGGCAGGUUGAAGGUUGGGUAACACUAACUGGAGGACCGAACCGACUAAUGUUGAAAAAUUAGCGGAUGACCUGUGGCUGGGGGUGAAAGGCCAAUCAAACCGGGAGAUAGCUGGUUCUCCCCGAAAGCUAUUUAGGUAGCGCCUCGUGAAUUCAUCUCCGGGGGUAGAGCACUGUUUCGGCUAGGGGGCCAUCCCGGCUUACCAACCCGAUGCAAACUGCGAAUACCGGAGAAUGUUAUCACGGGAGACACACGGCGGGUGCUAACGUCCGUCGUGAAGAGGGAAACAACCCAGACCGCCAGCUAAGGUCCCAAAGUCAUGGUUAAGUGGGAAACGAUGUGGGAAGGCCCAGACAGCCAGGAUGUUGGCUUAGAAGCAGCCAUCAUUUAAAGAAAGCGUAAUAGCUCACUGGUCGAGUCGGCCUGCGCGGAAGAUGUAACGGGGCUAAACCAUGCACCGAAGCUGCGGCAGCGACACUGUGUGUUGUUGGGUAGGGGAGCGUUCUGUAAGCCUGUGAAGGUGUGUCGUGAGGCAUGCUGGAGGUAUCAGAAGUGCGAAUG
rnacentral:rRNA from 1 species